rnacentral:rRNA from 1 species
GUCCACGCUGUAAACGAUGUCGACUUGGAGGUUGUGCCCUUGAGGCGUGGCUUCCGGAGCUAACGCGUUAAGUCGACCGCCUGGGGAGUACGGCCGCAAGGUUAAAACUCAAAUGAAUUGACGGGGGCCCGCACAAGCGGUGGAGCAUGUGGUUUAAUUCGAUGCAACGCGAAGAACCUUACCUACUCUUGACAUCCAGAGAAUUCGCUAGAGAUAGCUUAGUGCCUUCGGGAACUCUGAGACAGGUACUGCAUGGCUGUCGU